AGACGGAGGAUGCAAGCGUUAUCCGGAAUGAUUGGGCGUAAAGCGUCCGUAGGUGGCAGUUCAAGUCUGCUGUCAAAGACCGGGGCUCAACCUCGGAAAGGCAGUGGAAACUGAACAGCUAGAGUAUGGUAGGGGCAAAGGGAAUUCCUGGUGUAGCGGUGAAAUGCGUAGAGAUCAGGAAGAACAUCGGUGGCGAAGGCGCUUUGCUGGACCAUAACUGACACUGAGGGACGAAAGCUAGGGGAGCGAAUGGGAUUAGAUACCCCAGUAGUCCUAGCCGUAAACGAUGGAUACUAGGUGUUGUCUGUAUCGACCCGGACAGUGCCGUAGCUAACGCGUUAAGUAUCCCGCCUGGGGAGUACGCACGCAAGUGUGAA
rnacentral:rRNA from 1 species